rnacentral:rRNA from 1 species
UACAGAGGGUGCGAGCGUUAAUCGGAAUUACUGGGCGUAAAGCGCACGUAGUCGGCUUUGCAAGUCGGUUGUGAAAUCCCCGGGCUCAACCUGGGAACUGCAUCCGAGACUGCAUUGCUAGAGUAUGGGAGAGGAAAGCGGAAUUUCUGGUGUAGCAGUGAAAUGCGUAGAUAUCUGGAGGAACACCGGUGGCGAAGGCGGCAUCCUGGACCAACACUGACGCUGAGGAGCGAAAGCCAGGGGAGCAAACGGG